ACAAGCAGCGGAGCGUGUGGUUUAAUUCGAUGCAACGCGAAGAACCUUACCAGGGUUUGACAUGCUUAAAGUAGGAACUCGAAAGAGGGACGACCUGUAUCCAGUCAGGAGUUUGCACAGGUGCUGCAUGGCUGUCGUCAGCUCGUGCCGUGAGGUGUUAGGUUAAGUCCUGCAACGAGCGCAACCCUCGUCGCUAGUUGUUUUCUCUAGCGAUACUGCCCGUAUAACGUGGAGGAAGGUGGGGAUGACGUCAAGUCAGCAUGGCCCUUACAUCCUGGGCUACACACACGCUACAAUGGGUGAUACAACAGGUUGCAAUAGAGUAAUCUGGAGCCAAUCCCUAAAAUCAUCCUCAGUACGGAUUGCAGGCUGCAACUGCCUGCAUGAAGUUGGAGUUGCUAGUAAACGCAGGUCAGCACACUGCGUUGAAUACGUUCUCGGGCCUU
rnacentral:rRNA from 1 species